UACGUAGGGGGCAAGCGUUGUCCGGAUUUAUUGGGCGUAAAGAGCGUGUAGGCGGCCAGACAGGUCAGCUGUGAAAACUCGAGGCUCAACCGUCGAGACGUCGGUUGAAACCGUCUGGCUAGAGUCCGGAAGAGGAGAGUGGAAUUCCCGGUGUAGCGGUGAAAUGCGCAGAUAUCGGGAAGAACACCCGUGGCGAAGGCGGCUCUCUGGGACGGUACUGACGCUGAGACGCGAAAGCGUGGGGAGCGAACAGG
rnacentral:rRNA from 1 species